rnacentral:rRNA from 1 species
UACGUAGGGAGCAAGCGUUGCCCGGAAUUACUGGGCGUAAAGAGCUCGUAGGCGGGGGCGUGCGUCCGAGAAGAAAUCUCAUGGCUCAACCAUGGGGCUAUCUCGGAUACGGCGCUUCUUGAGGGUGAGAGAGGAAAGCGGAAUUCCAGGUGUAGCGGUGAAAUGCGUAGAUAUCUGGAGGAACACCAGCGGCGAAGGCGGCUUUCUGGCUCAUUCCUGACGCUGAGGAGCGAAAGCGUGGGUAGCGAACGGG